rnacentral:rRNA from 1 species
AGAGUUUGAUUAUGGCUCAGAACGAACGCUUGCUGCAUGCUUUAUACAUGCAAGUCGAACGAAGGCCCUAGCUUGCUAGGUGUCCUUAGUGGCGCACGGGUGAGUAACACGUGGGAACAUACCUCAUAGUACGGAAUAACUGCGGGAAACUGUAGCUAAUACCGUAUAUUCCAGUAAUGGGAAAGAUUUAUCGCUAUAAGAUUGGCCCGCGCAAGAUUAGCUUGUUGGUGAGGUAAAAGCUCACCAAGGCUUCGAUCUUUAGCUGGUUUGAGAGGAUGAUCAGCCACACUGGGACUGAGACACGGCCCAGACUCCUACGGGAGGCAGCAGUAGGGAAUAUUGGACAAUGGGGGCAACCCUGAUCCAGCAAUGCAGCGUGAGUGACGAAGGCCUUAGGGUUGUAAAACUCUUUCAUCGGUGAGGAUAAUGACAGUAGCCGAAGAAGAAGGACCGGCUAAUUCCGUGCCAGCAGCCGCGGUAAUACGGAAGGUCCUAGCGUUGUUCGGAAUUACUGGGCGUAAAGCGCAUGUAGGCGGAACAGAAAGUUAGAAGUGAAAUCCCUGGGCUCAACCUAGGAAUUGCUUUUAAAACUUCUGUUCUGGAAUUCAGGAGAGGAAAAUGGAAUUUCCAGUGUAGAGGUGAAAUUCGUAGAUAUUGGAAGGAACACCAGUGGCGAAGGCGAUUUUCUGGACUGAUAUUGACGCUGAGAUGCGAAGGCAUGGGUAGCAAACGGGAUUAGAUACCCCGGUAGUCCAUGCAGUAAACGAUGGGUGCUAGUCGUCGGACUUUUGUUCGGUGUCGUAGCUAACGCGUUAAGCACCCCGCCUGGGGAGUACGGUCGCAAGAUUAAAACUCAAAUAAAUUGACGGGGACCCGCACAAGCAGUGGAGCAUGUGGUUUAAUUCGACGCAACGCGAAGAACCUUACCAGCGUUUGACAUGGGAAGUGCCGGUUACAGAAUGGUAACCUUCAGUUCGGCUGGCUUCCACACAGGUGCUGCAUGGCUGUCGUCAGCUCGUGUCGUGAGAUGUUGGGUUAAGUCCCGCAACGAGCGCAACCCUCACUUUUAGUUGCCAUCAUUAAGUUGGGCACUCUGAAAGAACUGCCAGUGAUAAGCUGGAGGAAGGUGGGGAUGACGUCAAGUCCUCAUGGCCCUUA